GAUGAACGCUGGCGGCGUGCCUAAUACAUGCAAGUCGAGCGAACAGACGAGGAGCUUGCUCCUCUGACGUUAGCGGCGGACGGGUGAGUAACACGUGGAUAACCUACCUAUAAGACUGGGAUAACUUCGGGAAACCGGAGCUAAUACCGGAUAAUGUAUUGAACCGCAUGGUUCAAUAGUGAAAGACGGUUUUGCUGUCACUUAUAGAUGGAUCCGCGCCGCAUUAGCUAGUUGGUAAGGUAACGGCUUACCAAGGCAACGAUGCGUAGCCGACCUGAGAGGGUGAUCGGCCACACUGGAACUGAGACACGGUCCAGACUCCUACGGGAGGCAGCAGUAGGGAAUCUUCCGCAAUGGGCGAAAGCCUGACGGAGCAACGUCGCGUGAGUGAUGAAGGUCUUCGGAUCGUAAAACUCUGUUAUUAGGGAAGAACAAAUGUGUAAGUAACUAUGCACGUCUUGACGGUACCUAAUCAGAAAGCCACGGCUAACUACGUG
rnacentral:rRNA from 1 species